AGUGCAUUAUACCAGUUGCUAAAAACACUAGCCUGGCAAUGCCGAUAAAGCUUUUUAUUGUCUUUGGUAGGCAACUGUCAGAACAAUAACCUAGACAACGGACAGGCAAGGAGUUUCGGCUAUAUUCCACCUGGGAUUUGAUUCGAAAGAACACAAAACUUUCCGAAAUUCUUCAGCGCUUGGUAAAAUUUAACACAAAUACUUCAAAUGGCGGGCGCGUUGCUUUGCGAAAUUUUUGAUGAGAAAUUUGGCUCUGAAAAGUAUUCGGUGCCGAAAAAGUGAUAAUAUCUUAUCGCAGCGCAUGUUUU